rnacentral:rRNA from 1 species
AUGAGACUCAUAACUUGGAAUUGCCGGGGAUUGGGGAACGGCCCGACGAUUCGUGGUCUUCUGGAGCUCCUGAAGAAGGUGGACCCCGACGUUCUAUUUUUGUCUGAAACAAAGAUGGAGCAGCGUAGGCUGGAAUGGCUACGAUGGAAGAUGAACAUGACCUGCAUGAUGGUGAAGAACUGUGAUGGGCAAAGUGGGGGGCUUGCAAUGUUCUGGAAGAAGGAA